GAUGAACGCUGGCGGCGUGCCUAAUACAUGCAAGUCGAGCGAACGGACGAGAAGCUUGCUUCUCUGAUGUUAGCGGCGGACGGGCGAGUAACACGUGGAUAACCUACCUAUAAGACUGGGAUAACUUCGGGAAACCGGAGCUAAUACCGGAUAAUAUUUUGAACCGCAUGGUUCAAAAGUGAAAGACGGUCUUGCUGUCACUUAUAGAUGGAUCCGCGCUGCAUUAACUAGUUGGUAAGGUAACGGCUUACCAAGGCAACGAUGCAUAGCCGACCUGAGAGGGUGAUCGGCCACACUGGAACUGAGACACGGUCCAGACUCCUACGGGAGGCAGCAGUAGGGAAUCUUCCGCAAUGGGCGAAAGCCUGACGGAGCAACGCCGCGUGAGUGAUGAAGGUCUUCGGAUCGUAAAACUCUGUUAUUAGGGAAGAACAUAUGUGUAAGUAACUGUGCACAUCUUGACGGUACCUAAUCAGAAAGCCACGGCUAACUACGUG
rnacentral:rRNA from 1 species